rnacentral:rRNA from 1 species
AGUGAACGCUGGCGGUAGGCCUAACACAUGCAAGUCGAACGGCAGCACAGUAAGAGCUUGCUCUUACGGGUGGCGAGUGGCGGACGGGUGAGGAAUACAUCGGAAUCUACUUUUUCGUGGGGGAUAACGUAGGGAAACUUACGCUAAUACCGCAUACGACCUACGGGUGAAAGCAGGGGAUCUUCAGACCUUGCGCGAUUGAAUGAGCCGAUGUCGGAUUAGCUAGUUGGCGGGGUAAAGGCCCACCAAGGCGACGAUCCGUAGCUGGUCUGAGAGGAUGAUCAGCCACACUGGAACUGAGACACGGUCCAGACUCCUACGGGAGGCAGCAGUGGGGAAUGUUGGACAAUGGGCGCAAGCCUGAUCCAGCCAUACCGCGUGGGUGAAGAAGGCCUUCGGGUUGUAAAGCCCUUUUGUUGGGAAAGAAAAGCAGCAGGUUAAUACCCCGCUGUUCUGACGGUACCCAAAGAAUAAGCACCGGCUAACUUCGUG